rnacentral:rRNA from 1 species
UACCAGCACCCCGAGUGGUCGGGACGUUUUAUUGGGCCUAAAGCAUCCGUAGCCGGUUCUACAAGUCUUCCGUUAAAUCCAACUGCUUAACAGGUGGGCUGCGGAAGAUACUAUAGAGCUAGGAGGCGGGAGAGGCAAGCGGUACUCGAUGGGUAGGGGUAAAAUCCGUUGAUCCAUUGAAGACCACCAGUGGCGAAGGCGGCUUGCCAGAAUGCGCUCGACGGUGAGGGAUGAAAGCUGGGGGGAGCAAACCGG